GCGGAUGUAGCUCAGUUGGUAGAGCCCCGGAUUGUGAUUCCGGUUGUCGCGAGUUCAAGCCUCGUCAUUCGCCCCA
rnacentral:tRNA from 1 species